rnacentral:rRNA from 1 species
GUAACGGCGAGUGAAGCGGGAAGAGCUCACGUUGUGAAUCUGGCCCUCGGGCCCGAACUGUACCCUGGAGAGGCGAGGCCCGCCGCUGUCCGCGGCCAAGUCUGAUUGGAAAUGAGCAUCGAGGAGGGUGACAAUCCCGUUCAUGCCGCGGUAUCGAUCAGCGCGCGUCCGGCCCGCUUUCGACGAGUCGAGUUGCUUGGGAUUGCAGCUCAAAGUGGGUGGUAAACUCCAUCCAAAGCUAAACACGGGGGGGAGACCGAUAGCGAACAAGUACCGUGAGGGAAAGAUGCAAAGAACUUUGAAAAGAGAGUCAAAGAGUGCCUGAAAUUGCUGGAAGGGAAGCGAAGGAAAGAGGUGUGCGGUUGCCCGGGCGCCAACCCCGACGUGUGUGCCGUGUAGGUGUGCACGUCGGGGUAGGCCGCCCGGCCGCGGUCAGGGGUAGAGCGCCGGGGUCGCGGGAGGAGCCGCGGGGGAUCGGUAGGCGUCGCCUCUUGGUGGACGCUGUCAGGCCCCCGCGCGUUGCGCCGCGAGCCCGGCCCCCGUCUGGCGGUCGCGGCUUUUCUUCACCCCGUCUUGAAACACGGACCAAGGAGUCUAGCGUGGACGCGAGUAUAGGGGCGUGGAAACCCCCUUGCGCAAUGAAGGUGAACGCCGGUGGGAGGCCCCGUAGCAAGGGCCGGCACCAUCGACCGAGCGUGUCCCCCCGGGGGCAGGGCUUGAGUGUGAGCGUGCAUGCUGGGACCCGAAAGAUGGUGAACUAUGCUUGAAUAGGGCGAAGCCAGGGGAAACUCUGGUGGAGGCUCGUAGCGAUUCUGACGUGCAAAUCGAUCGUGAGAUUUGGGUAUAGGGGCGAAAGACUAAUCGAACCAUCUAGUAGCUGGUUCCCUCCGAAAUUUCCCUCARGAUAGCAGCGGCCGAGCGANACAGUUUUAU